AAAUUUAUAAAAUUUAUUUUUUUUGUGAUAAUAAAUAGAAUUAAAAGUUUUUAUUUUUUAAAGUGAUUUAUAACUAAUUAUUAAAUAUUUAUGAUUUUUAUAGUAAAUUUAUAUAUUUUAUUAAAAUUUAAGUUUAAAUUUAUGAAAUUUAGUAAUAAUGAUAAAAUUAGUAUAAUUUUAUGUUUAAUAAAAAUAAUAUUUUUAGGUUAAAUAAAGUAACUCGGCAAAUAUAUUUUUCACCUGUUUAUUAAAAACAUGUCUUUUUGAUUAUAAUUUAAAGUCUAACCUGCCCAAUGAUUUAUUAAAUGGCCGCGGUAUUUUGACUGUGCAAAGGUAGCAUAAUCAUUAGUUUUUUAAUUGAAAGCUGGAAUGAAGGGUUGGAUGAGAAAAUAGCUGUCUCUAUUUAAAUUUAUUAGAAUUUUAUUUUUAAGUUAAAAAGCUUAAAUAUUUAUGAAAGACGAGAAGACCCUAUAGAGUUUUAUAUUUUUGUAGAAAUUAAAUUUUUAGGAUAUAAGUAUUUUAUUUUUAUAAAAGUAUUUAAUUGGGGUGAUUGAAAAAUUGAAAAAACUUUUUUUUUAUUUAUACAUUGAUUUAUGAUUUUUUGAUCCUUUUAUUAAGAUUAUAAGAUUAAAUUACCUUAGGGAUAACAGCGUAAUUUUUUUUUAGAGUUCUAAUCGAAAAAAAAGAUUGCGACCUCGAUGUUGGAUUAAAAUUAAAUUUUGGUGUAGAAGCUAAAAGAUUAGGUCUGUUCGACCUUUAAAAUUUUACAUGAUCUGAGUUUAAAUCGGCGUGAGCCAGGUUGGUUUCUAUCUUUAUAUAAAUAAUAUAUUUUAGUACGAAAGGACCAAGUAUUUGAUUUAAUAGAAUUUAUUUUAUAGAAUAAUAUU
rnacentral:rRNA from 1 species